GAUGAACGCUGGCGGCGUGCCUAAUACAUGCAAGUCGAGCGAACAGAUGAGGAGCUUGCUCCUCUGACGUUAGCGGCGGACGGGUGAGUAACACGUGGAUAACCUACCUAUAAGACUGGGAUAACUUCGGGAAACCGGAGCUAAUACCGGAUAAUAUAUUGAACCGCAUGGUUCAAUAGUGAAAGACGGUUUUGCUUUCACUUAUAGAUGGAUCCGCGCCGCAUUAGCUAGUUGGUAAGGUAACGGCUUACCAAGGCAACGAUUCGUAGCCGACCUGAGAGGGUGAUCGGCAACACUGGAACUGAGACACGGUCCAGACUCCUACGGGAGGCAGCAGUAGGGAAUCUUCCGCAAUGGGCGAAAGCCUGACGGAGCAACGCCGCGUGAGUGAUGAAGGUCUUCGGAUCGUAAAACUCUGUUAUUAGGGAAGAACAAAUGUGUAAGUAACUAUGCACGUCUUGACGGUACCUAAUCAGAAAGCCACGGCUAACUACGUG
rnacentral:rRNA from 1 species